UGACAAAUUUUAAUUAUUUGAUUACUUGGAUAUUAUUGUUUUUAUUCACUAGACAGUGAGCUCCUUGAGGACAGUUACCACAUUUGUUUUGUUUGACAUGAUAUAUCCUGGCAUAGUCCAGGGCACACAGUAAGUACUUAGUAAAAAAGUGUUGAGCAAAAAGUAAACUGGUAAAUGUUUAUAUGCUAGACUUUUUGGGUACCUCUAAUCCCUAAUAGACUAGGAACUUUUCAUAUACAAGACCAUGUCUUAAAGACAUUUCUAUACCUCACUCUGAGGACAGUGCUUGACCCACAAGAAAUGCUCAGUAAAAGCUUGGCAAUUUUCAGCUAAACUGAGUACAAAUCAUCAAACAUUUGUGCGAAAUUACUGCUUGGCACUGAUGUGUUCUGCCUCGUCUAGAGGAAUUCUGCCAUCACGUACAAGGCCAAAAUAGUUCUUUGGCUUGUAAUAACUAGUAUGUACCUUAUUCAUUCAUUCAUCAAAUAUUCACUGAAAACCUACUCUGUGCUAGGCACUGUUCUAAAUGAGAAUCAAUCUUUUGAACUCUGGGGAUAUAACAAUGAAGAAAACAGGGAAAAAAAAAAAAAACAAAAACCUGUCCUUAUGAGGCUUAUAAAGAAAAACAGCCAGUAAUUUAGUAAAAAUAUCACCUCAAAGAUUCUGCUUUAAUUGCUGAGACGCGAGCACUGGCGUAGAGUAUUUAAAAAUCUGCCUAGGUGAUUGCAACACACAGCAGGGACUGAGAGCCGUUGCUUUAGAAAGACACACUGCUUACUUUCUUGUUUAUUUUUUAAACGAUGCACCUCUGCUGUAGUUUUUUCUAUCAGAGUGUACACAAGGUAGCUUUUCGAUGUGUCACUAUUUGCUUUUAGUUUACAAGAUUUUAGGGUAAAAUGGUUACGCAAUAUAAAAUGCUAUGUUAUAUGCUUUAUUCUGCUUAGCUAGACACAGAAACCAUUUCAGAAAAAUGGGCCAAUUUGAAUUAUCUUCUAUUUAGAAUGUAAAUUUGAAUCCUGAGGGCACAAAGACUUUUAACAAGGAACAGAAAGUAUCUUUGUAGUUUCCCUUUCCCAAGCAAACACUGUGUUGUAAGAUUGGAAAGUUUCUUGUUCCUUUAUAUGUUUUGUAUUCUCAUUGCUUUCUAUAUUUAGUAUUUAUGUUUGAUUGCACAGAGAACUGUAUACAGUGAUGAUUUUCACAGAGAAUAAUUAUAUGCAAUAGGACCAUAUUCUCUAAUGAUGUUGAGGAAUUUAAAUUUUGUGUAUGAAUAUAGUAGUCUAUAGAUACUUUCUGACACCAUUUUUUUUUUUAAUUAAGGUAAAACGUACAUACAGCUUGAUGAGUUUCAGUGGGUGAAUGCAGCCAUCUAAGCACCAAUUCGAACAUAACAUAGAUUUCCAUCACCCCAGGAAGUUAUCUUGUGAGCCUUUCAGUCAAUGGACACUCCCCAUAUGCAACUGCUAUUCUAGUUGUAUCACCAUAGGACAGAAUAGAACUGCUUCAUAGGGUUUCCAAGGCUGUAGUCUUUAUGGGUUACAUCAAGAACCUGUGGUAUUGAAGGAAGAAGUCUAAGCAGCACUGAAGGCUUUGGUGAAAAACAAGGCUCCAGGACUUGAACACCAGUUAAGAUGUUUUAACAAACAGUUGCAGUUCUGGAGGUGCUCACUGGUCUAUGCCAAGAGAUUUGGAAGACAGCUACUUGGCCAACAGACUGGAAGAGAUCCAUAUUUGUGCCGAUUCCAAAGAAAGUGAUCCAACGGAAUGAGGAAAUUAUCGAACAAUAUCAUUGAUACCACACACAAGUAAAAUUUUGCUGAAGAUCAUUCAAAAGUGGUUGUAGCAGUAUAUUGACAGGGAGCUGCCAGAAGUUCAAGCCACAUUCAGAAGAGGAUGGGGAAUGAGGGAUAUCAUUGCUGAUGUCAGAUGGAUCUCGGCUGAAAGCAGAGAAUACCAGAAAGACGUUUACCUGUGUUUUAUUGACUAUGCAAGGGCAUUUGACUGUGUGGAUCACAACAAAUUACGGAUAACAUUGUGAAGAAUGAGAAUUCCAGAGCACCUAAUUGUGCUCAUGAGGAACCUGUACAUAGACCAAGAGGCAGUCAUUUGAGCAGAGCAAGGGGAUACUGCGUGGUUUAAAAUCAGGAAUCGUGUAUCCUUUCACCAUACGUUUUCCAUCUGUAUGCUGAGCAAAUAAUCAGGGAAGCUGGACGAUGUGAAGCAGAAUGCAGCAUUAGGAUUGCAGGAAGACUGAUUAACAACCUGUGAUAUGCAGAUAACACAACCUUGCUUGCUGAAAGUGAAGAGGACUUGAAGCACUUACUGAUGAAGAUCAAAGACUACAGCCUUCAGUAUGGAUUACACCUCAACAUAAAGAAAACAAAAAUCCUCACAACUGCAUCAGUGAGCAACAUCAUCAUAAACAGUGAAAAGUCUGAAGUUGUCAGGGAUUCCAUUUUCCUUGGAUCCACAAUCAACACCCAAGGAAGCAACAGUAAGGAAAUCAAACAAUGUAUUGCAUUGGGCAAAUCUGCUGCGAAAUACCUCUUUAAAGUGUUAAAAAGUGAAGAUGUCACUUUGAGAAUUAAGGUGCACCUGAUACAAGCCAUAAUGUUUUUAAUUGCCCCAUAUGCAUGCAAAAGCUGGACAAUGAAUAACGAAGACUGGAAAACUCAUGCCUUUGAGUUACGGUGUUGAUGAAGGAUAUUGAAUAUAUGGACUGCCAGAAAAACAAACAAAUCUGUCUUGGAAGAAAUACAGCUAGAGUGCUCCUUGGAAGCGAGGCUGGUGAGACUUCGUCUCAUAUUACUUUGAACAUGUUUAUCAGGAGAGACUAGUCCCUGGAGAAGGACAUCACGCUUGGUAAAGUAGAAACCAAAAACAAAAAACUCGCUGCGUCCAGUCGAUUCCGACUCAUGGCGACCCUAUAGGACAGAGUGGAACUGCCCCAUGGGGUUUCCAAGGAGCACUUGGUAGAUUCAAACUGCCUACCUUUUGGUUGGCAGCUGUAGAUCUUAGAGGGUCAGUGAAAAGAGAAAGGCAUUUGACAAAAUGGAGUGGCACAGUGGGUGCAACAAUGGGCUCAAACAUAACAGUGGUUGUGAGGAUGGCACAGGACUGGGCACUGUUUUGUUCUGUUGUUCAUAGGGUUGCUAUGAGUUGGCACAAUGACAACAGUCUUUAAGGAAGCAGACUGCCACAUCUUUCUCCCAUGGAGUGGCUGGUGGGUUGGAACCGCUGACCUUUCAGUUAGCAGCUGAGUGCUUAACCACUGCAUCACCAGGGCUCCUUGAACCACAGACAGAGGGGUUAGAAUUUGCAACACGUAUUUUGUGGGGAACACAAUUCAAUCUGUAAUACGUUGUAUGGAAUGUAAGGAAUGGGCUGGAAAAUAGUGAAUAAUGAGGCUCCAAAAUGUAUUCCAGGGUCACAUUCAAAGGCCUUGUAGAAGGCGUUUGAAAUUUAUCCCAAAAGCAACAGGGAACCACUAAAUGGCUUUUGGUAGGAAAUUGAAAUGAUCACAUUUUCGCUUUUAGAAGAUCAUUCUGUCUAAUCUGUAGAAUGCACUGGAAGGAGGCAAGACUGGAGGCAGGGAACAUAAUUAGGAGGAUGUUGCAAUAAUCCAAGUAGGAAAUGAUGCCAGUUUGUAGCAAAAUUAUGGUAUGGCAUACUUAUGGAAUUCUUCUUUUCCCCAAUAUUAAUAGACUUUAUUUUUUAGAGCAGUUUUAGGUUUGCAAAUAAUUGCAGAGAUUCCUAUAUACCUCCUCUCUCCCCAUACACUUUGUAUCCUAGUAUUAAAAUUUUGCAUUCAAGUGAUACACUUACUACAAUUGAUGAAUCAGUAUUGGUACACUAUUAUAAACUAAGGUCCAUAGUUUAGGGACAUUAGGGUUCAUUCUUUGUGUUGUACAGUUGUAUGGGUUUUGCCAAAUGCAAAAAAAUCCACCAUCACCAUAUCAUACAGAAUAGUGUCAAUGCCUUAAAAAUUCACUGGGGUUCACCUAUUUAUCCCUUAUUUCUUUCCUCCUCCAGGGUCCCUGGAAACCACUUUUACUGUCUCUAUAGUUUUGAAGGAGCCCUGGUGGCACAGUGGUUAAGUGCUCAGCUGCUAACUGAAAGGUCGGUAGUUAGAACCCACCAGCCACUCCGAGGGAGAAAGAUGUGGCAGUCUGCUUCUGUGAAGAUUACAGCCUUGAAAAACCUUAUGGGGCAGUUCUACUCCAUCCACUGGGGUCACUAGGAGUCGGAAUCGACUCGAUGGCAAAUGACAACAGUUUUGCCUUAUUCCAGAAUGUUAUAUAGUUGGAAUCAUACAGUAUGUAGCCUUUUCAGAGUGGCUUCUGCUUGAAUUCCUUUGUUUCCUUUCCAGAUCAGUUCUGCAUUUUUCCCUUUGCUCCACUGGGCCUUCACCCUCCAGCUUCUGGUUAGGUUUGGCCAAGGAGAGAUAACUGUAGGUGGUCAGAAGAAAGGAGAAGCGUGAGGCUGAAAUGUUGAUUCCGCCCAGGCUCCCUCCUUGUUUGGUUGCCAUAGGCUGCAGUCCUCUAGCAAAGGCUACAGCUUGUGUCUGGCGGCUCUAUACAUACAGCCACCCUCUGUGGGUCUGCUAACCACUCUCUACUCUUCUCCCUUCUGGUCUAGGUGUGAUGGCUCUCAAGAUACUUCUUUAUCCCUUUCUGGUUUCCUUCAGCCACUGCUCAUUCCUUUGUAACUAUUCUUGCUAUUCAACUCACCCCAAGUUAUAUAGUUUAAAUGUGCCAUCUGUUUUCUGUUGGUACCCUGACUGAUAUACAAGAGGAUGGCGAGAAGUAAAUGGAUGCAAGGAAUUGUAAAAUGGCAUAAUUCAAAGACUCCUGUGCAACACAGAAUGCAGGAGAGGAAGCAGUGAUGAGAGCUCCUGUAGGUAGUACAUUUGAGAGGUGUUUUGAAAACAGACAAGGCAAGAGGCCUGGGUAAAUACAUGUGUGGUGCAAUGGAGAGGAGGAAUCAAACACGGCUCUGCCAUUGAAUAUAUGUAAAAGAUGUUUGGCAGCGUUGAUAAUGUUCUUUCUUGUAAUUUUUGGCCAUUUUGACUAUCAAUUUUGGGUAGGUCUGGAAAUGAUUAACUCUGGGAAUACAAAGCAAACUUGUUGCUGUCUGGUUGAUUCUGACUCAUAGCAACCCUACAGGACAGAGUAGAACUGCCCCGCAGGGUUUCCAAGGAGUGGCUAGUGGAUUCGAACUGCCAACCUUUUGGUUAGCAGCCAAGCUUUUAGUCACUGCGCCAGCAGGGCUCCAACUCUGGGAAGCCGACGGUAUUACUGUAAAGGCAUUUUAUAUUACAUAAUUUGUACAUAUUGACUGAAAAGCACUGAAUUCUAUUUAUGCCCACUCUUUCUUCCUUUCCCCCAGUAAUCCAUGCAUAAAACCCAUGAAUACCUUCCAACCCUCCCUACAAGGCUGCCAAGAGAUCUGGUCAGGCAACCCGUUCCAGUUGCCGCUGAGUUGAUUCCAACUCAUAGAGACCCUACAGGACAGAGUAUAACUGCCCCAUAGGUUUCCUAGGAGUGGCUGGUACAUUCAAACUGCUGACCUUUUGAUUAACAGCCUGAUGCUUAAACACUGCACUACCAGGGCUCUUGGUCAGGCAGAGGACCCUUUUAUAGGGUUCUCUUAUAUUCAACCACUGCAAUUAGGUGUGAUAUGUUAGCAUAUCAAGACACCAUAUAUAUGUACAGCAAAUUAGCUUCAUUUCUGCAGUUGGUGCUUUUUGUUUUUGGCUGACAUCAUGAGCUGGAGACAAAGCAGGCCAAGUAUCUUCCUCUGCCUUUUCUCCUUUAAACUCACAUCCAAAUCUUGGAUUGUACUUCUUUGAUGGCAAGAAACAGCAGUCCUAGGCGAAAGAGCCAAAAAAUUUGGAAGACAGCUACCUGGCCAACUGACUAGAAGAGAUCCAUAUUUAUACCUAUUCCCAAGAAAGGUGAUCCAACUGAAUGCGGAAAUUAUCGAACAGUAUCAUUAACAUCACACUCAAGUAAAUUUUGCUGAAGAUUAUUCAAAAGCAGCUGCAGCAGUAUAUUGACAAGGAACUGCCAGAAAUUCAAGCCAGAUUCAGAAGAGGACGGGGAAUGAGGGAUAUCAUUGCUGAUGUCAGAUGGAUCCUAGCUGAAAAGAAACUACCGGAAAGAUGUUUUCCUGUGUUUUAUUGACUAUGCAAAGGUAUUCAACUGUGUGGGCCGUAAUAAUAUAUGGAUAACAUAAUUUAUGUUAAGUUAUGGGAAUUUCAAAAUACUUAAUUGUGCUCAUGAGGAAUGUGUACAUAGAUCAAGAGGCAGUCAUUUGAAUAGAACAAGGGGAUACUGCGUGCUUUAAAGUCAGGAAAGGCGUGCGUCAGGGUUGUAUCCUUUCACCACACCUAUUCAAUCUGCAUGCUAAGCAAGUAAUACGAGAAGCUGGACCGUAUGAGGAAAAAUGGGGCAUCAGGAUUGGAGGAAGCCUCAUUAACAACAUGCGUUAUGGAGAUGACACAACCUUGUUUGCUGAAAGUGAAGCAGACUUGAAGCACUUAUUGAUGAAGAGCAAAGACCACAGCCUUCAGUGUGGAUCACACUUCAACGUAGACAAAAAUCCUUACAACUGGACCAAUAAGCCACAACAUGAUAAAUGGAGAAAAGAUUGAAGUUGUCAAGGAUUUCAUUUUACUUGGAUCCACAAUCAACACCCAUGGAAGCAGCAGUGAAGAAAUCAAAAGAUGCAUUGUAUUGGGCAAAUCAGCUGCAAAGGACCUCUUUAAAGUGUUGAAAACAAAGAUGCCACCUUGAAGACUAAUGUGCACCUGACCCAAGCCAUGGUAUUUUCAAUUACAUCAUGUGGAUUUGAGAGCUGUACAAUGAAUAAGAAAGACUGAAGAACUGACGCCUUUGAAUUGUAUUGGAGAAGAAUAUUGAAUAUACCAUGCACUGCCAUAAGAAUGAACAAAUCUGUCUUGGAGAAAGUACAACCAGAAUGCUCCUUAGAAGCAAGGAUGGCGAGACUUUGUCUUACAUACUUUGGACAUAUUGUCAGGAGGGAUCAGUCCCUGGAGAAGGACAUAAUGCUUAGUAAAGUACAGGGUCAGCAGAAAAGUGAAAGACCCUCAACGAGAUGGAUUGACACAGUGGCUGCAACAAUGGGCUCAAGCAUAAUAAGGACUGUGAGCAUGGUGCAGGACCAGGCAGUGUUGUUUUGUCAUACAUAGGGUUGCUCUGAGUCAGAACAAACUCCAUGGCACCUAGCAACAACAACAAUAAUCUUCCAUGUUUUACAGGUCUAUUAUUUUGUUAAACAAGUAAAAGAAACUUUCACUAAGAAAAAAAAAAAACCAAAAAACCAAACCCGUUGCCGUGGGGUUGAUUCUGACUCAUAAUGACACUACAGGACAAAGUAGAACUGCCCCAUAUGGUUUCCAAGGAGCCCCUGGUGGAUUCAAACUGCUGACCUCUUGGUUAGCAGCUAUAGCUCUUGACCAGUAUGCCACCAGGGUUUCUUUUUUUUUUUUUUUAAGGUUUCUCUGAACCCACCCACUGCUGUCGAGUCGAUUCCGACUCAUAGCGACCCUAUAGGACAAAGUAGAACUGCCCGAUACAGUUUCUAAGGAGUGCCUGGUGGAUUCGAAUUGCCGACCUCUUGGUUAGCAGCCAUAGCAGUUGACCACUACGCCACCAGGGUUUCCAAGAUUUCACUAGGGGAUGUAAAAUUACCUUUUUACUACUCCAUUCUCCUGUUACAGUAAAUAUAAAAGGUUAUUAAAAUUAUUUCUUCCUUGAGAACGUGAAGAUCUUGUUUCCUAUAGAUCCACAUUAUCUCUUAGCUCAGAAAUAAGCCCACGUAUUGACUUGAGCCAUAGAACUAUCAGGCAUAUUUUAAUAAAAGGGGAAUUCUCUGAUAUUUCACCACUGACGUUAGGUGUGAUAUGUUAGCAUAUCAAGACACAGCAAAUUAGCCUCAUUUCUGCAGCUGGUGCUUUUUGCUUGACUAUUACUAGGGAAGUUGACUUGCAAAUGCCAUUCUUCACUUUUGUGAGCUUGACCUGACCUGAGUCUUAUGCCUUGUAUUACGUAGUUUCUUACGGCUAUUAUAAUAAAUUACCACAAAGUAGGUGGUUUAAAAUGACUGAAAUUUAUUGCCUCACUGUUCUGGAGUCUAAAGUCCGAAUUCAGGGUGUCAGCAGGUUAUGUUCUCCCUAAUGGCUCUAGUGGAAGGUUCUUUCUUGUCUUUUUCAGCUUUCGGUAGACCCAGGUGUUCCUUGGCUUGCAGCUGUAGUUCACAUGAAAUUCUUUUCCACGUGUAUGUCUGUGUCUCUUCUCCUCUUUUAUAAGAACACCACUUAUAUUGGAUUAGUACCUACUGCAGUAGAACUGGUAACAUUUUCAAAGACCCUGUUUCCAAACAGGGUCAUAUUCACAGGUAACAGGGGUCAGGACUUCAAAUAUGUCCUGAUCUUCAGAUAUGUCUUCCAUAUCUUUUUGGGGGACACAAUUCAAUCAAAAACACCAUUCCAUAUCAUCUGAUUCAGCUGCUCUGAAAGGUUCAAAUAAAAAUCAGACAGAAAUAUAGAUUUUCUAUUUCCCAUUGCUCCAAUUUAUUAAUUAAAAAACAAAACAAAACCUGUUGCCACGGAAUUGAUUCCAACUCAUGGUGACUGUCUUAGUUACCUAAUGCUGCUGUAACAAAAAUACUGCAGGUGGAUGGCUUUAAUAAGAGAAAUUUAUUCUCUCACAGUCUAGGAGGCUAGAGGUCUGAAUUCAGGGUGCCAGCUCCAGGGGAAGGCUUUCUCUCUUUGUUGGCUCUGGGGGAAGGUCUUUGUCUUCAGUCUUCCCUGGUUGAGAAGCUUCUCAGAGUAGGGACCCCAGGUCCAAAGGAUGGUUCUGUUUCUGGUGCUGCUUUCUUGGUGGUAUGAGGUCCCUCUCUUCUCUGCUCAAUUCUCUGUUUUAUAUCGCAAUGAGAUUUGUUUAAAACACAGCCUAAUCUUGUAGGUUGAGUUCUGCCUCAUUAACAGAACUGCUUGCUGCUAAACCCAUUUCACUAACAUCAUAGAGGUUAGGAUUUACAACACAUAGGAUAAAUCACAUCAGAUGACAGAAUGGAGAACAAUUACACAAUACUGGGAAUCAUGACCUAGCCAAGUUGACAGAUAUUUUUGGGGGACACAAUUCAAUCCAUGACAGUGGCUCUAUAUAACAGAAUAGAACUGUCCCAUAGGGUUUCCAAGGAGUGGCUGGUGGGUUCAAACUGCUAAUCUUUUAGUUAGCAGCCCAACUCUUAACCACUGUGCCACAAGAAUGAACUUUAAUAAUAACUAGUGUUGUACUAAAUGUUGGGCACAGUAGUAGGCUCUACAAAUUCAUUGUCUUGUUUAAUCCUUACGAGUUCACAAUUCUGUGACUAUGAAAACCAUGACUCAUGGAGGUUACGUAAUCUGACUUAGGUUGCUCAGCUACCGGGUGGCAGAGACAGAAUUCAAAUUCAGCUCGGAAUGACUCUAUGUUAUAUGUGUAUGGAGCUCUGAGGACAUUUUCUGGACUCAGCUACUUAGGUUUUCUUAGACUAAGUUGAUAUGUAACUAUGAAUUGAUAUGUUUAGAGGAUUUGGGAUUGGGUUUUUGUGAGUAAUUUUCUUUAAUUAAUUGUUUUAACAAUGCUUUUGUUCUGGUUUGAUUGGUAAAAGGCUGCAUAAUCUAUUUGACACCAUUUUCCAGGCUUAUUUUUGACAAAGAGAUUCAGUCUAUUUCUGUAUUGACUGAAUUGAUUAUUUGUGACAACUUUCAAUGGUAACAUCAGAUUGUGGGUAGCAAGAAAAAAGGGGAAGAAAACUUCAGACAGGAGGGAAAGAAUCAUUGACUACAUAAAGAAAAAAUGCAUACAUGUAUUAUCUUUGAAAAAAGAUUAACAGUCCAUGCUACAUUUGCCACCAGAGGGAGUCAUAUGAAUACCAUAACAUAUUGACAAAGGAAAAGGAAACAUCAUUAAGUAUUUUCUCCCAUUGUCAUCAAUAUUUCAAGUAGCUUUCAAAAUUUGAUAGAUCUUGUGGAACUAUGGGAAAGGACUUAAACAUCUCACUGUAGGCCUAAAAACAGGAGAAACAUGAUGGUUAAAUUAGUCAUGCAGGGUUAAAGAUAAACAUCAAAACAAACUAAUGGGCACUUUGGAUUUUAGCAACAUGAACUUCAAGCUUCACUGAAACUGAAAAAUCAAGCUGUGAUCUCUUUUGUUCCCAAAAUCAUUAUCUACUAUUACCAUAAAAUUGUUCUAAAAAAUUUUUUGGAAUCAACAAUUUUAACAAUAUUUUGUUAAGGAGAUUUCACUCUACCACUAUAUUGCCUGUAUCAGGAUGACUGUGUUGAUCGUUAUUGUUAGUAAAUAAAACAAAAGUAUGUUGAAAAGAAACUCAAUAGGUAGAAAGAUUCAGUAUCCAAAGGUCAUUUUACUUAUCUCUACUCUCUAAAACCCAGGCCAAAAUUUUCUCAAUUGGUAAACAAGGGAAAAAUGGAUUAUUUAAUAACUGGUAGGUUUGUUAUCCAAUUUGUUUCAUGUCUAAUUUUAGAAUUGAUCAGUAAAUAGCGUUUACUGAAAUCCGCUAUUUACACAGUGAUAAAUUCUCCAUUUAAGUCAAGAAUCAGUCACAAUAAAUCUUGGAGAGAUGAGUUCUGAAGUGAUGUUUAUACCUUUAUACAGAUCAGAUGGUUUUCAAAAUAUACUGGCUGGACUUGUCCCAUCAGCAUUACCUGUAACCUGUUCAAAAUACAAAAUUUCAGGUCUCAGCUCUGACCUACUGAUACAGAAAGCCCAGGGGUGCAGCAGUCUGUUGUUUGACAAACCCUCCAGGUGAUUCUGAUGAAUGCAAAAUUUUGUGAACCCCACAAUAGAGAUAUUAGAUAGUCUCCUGAAACUAAGUCCAGCAACUUAUAUAAAUUGGAGGAUGUGCUUUCUGUGUUUUCUUACAAUACUUAUUUUCUUAUGAGUAAUUAAAAAAAUUUAAAUUAAAUGAACUAUCACUGAUGAAGUAAAAGAACCGAACAGAAGAUUUCAAAGGGCGGCUCGAGAAGACAAAGUAUUAUAAUGACAUGUGCAAAGAGCUGGAAAUGGGAAACCAGAAGGGAAGAACAUGCUUGGCGUUUCUCAAGCUGAAAGAACUGAAGAAAAAAUUCAAGCCUCGAGUUGCAAUAGUGAAGGAUUCCAUGGGGGAAAUAUUAAACGACGCAGGAAGCAUCAAAAGAAGAUGGAAGGAAUACACAGUCAUUAUACCAAAAAGAAUUAGUCAAUAUUCAACCAUUUCAAGAGGAGGCAUAUGAUCAGGAACCGAUGGUACUGAAGGAAGAAAUCCAAGCUGCUCUAAAGGCAUUGGCGAAAAACAAGGCUCCAGGAAUUGAUGGAAUAUCAAUUGAGAUGUUUCAACAAACGGAUGCAGCACUGGAGGUGCUCGCUCAUCUAUGCCAAGAAAUAUGGAAGACAGCUUCCUGGCCAACUGACUGGAAGAGAUCCAUAUUUAUGCCUAUUCUCGAGAAAGGUGAUCCAACCAAAUGUGGAAAUUAGAGAACGAUAUCAUUAAUAUCAUAUGCAAGCAAAAUUUUGCUGAAGAUCAUUCAAAAAUGGCUGCAGCAGUAUAUUGACAGGGAACUGCCAGAAAUUCAGACCAGUUUCAGAAGAGGAUGUAGAACCUGGGAUAUCACUGCUGAUGUCAGAUGGAUCCUGGCUGAAAGCAAAGAAUACCAGAAGGAUGUUUACCUGUGUUUUAUUGACUAUGCAAAGGCAUUUGACUGUGUGGAUCAUAACAAAUUAGGGAUAAUGUUGCAAAGAAUGGGAAUUGCACAACACUUAGUUGUGCUCAUGAGGAAUCUUUACAUAGAUCAAGAGGCAGUUGUUCGGACAGAACAAGGGGAUAGUGAUGGAUUUAAAGUCAGGAAAGUUGUGCGCCAGGGUUGUAUUCUUUCGCCAUACCUAUUCAGUCUGUAUGCUGAGCAAAUAAUCCGAGAAGCUGAACUAUAUGAAGAAGAAUGGAGCAUCAGGAUUGGUGGAAGACUCAUUCACAACCUGCGUUAUGCAGAUGAUACAACCUUGCUUGCUGAAAGUGAAGAGGACUUGAAGCACUUAUUAAUGAAGAUCAAAGACCACAGCCUUCAGUAUGGACUGCACCUCAACAUAAAGAAAACAAAAAUCCUCACAACUGGACCAAUGAGCAAUAUCAUGAUAAAUGGAGAAAAGAUUGAAGUUGCCAAGGAUUUCAUUUUACUUGGAUCCACAAUCAACAGCCAUGGAAGCAGCAGUCAAGAAAUCAAAAGAUGCAUUGCAUUGGGUAAAACUGCUGCAAAGGACCUCUUUAAAGUGUUGAAGAGCAAAGAUGUCACCUUGAAGGCUAAGAUGCGCCUGAUCUAAGCCAUGGUAUUUUCAAUCACCUCAUAUGCAUGUGAAAACUGGACAAUGAAUAAGGAAGACCGAAGAAGAUUUGAUGCCUUCGAAUUGUGGUGAUGGCAAAGAAUAUUGAACAUACUGUGGACUGCCAGAAGAACGAAUAAAUCUGUCUUGGAAGAAGUACAACCAGAAUGCUCCUUAGAAGCAAGGAUGAUGAGACUGCCUCUUACAUACUUUGGACAUGUUGUCAGGAGGGAUCAGUCUCUGGAGAAGGACAUAAUGCUUAGCAAAGUACAGGGUCAGCAGAAAAGAGGAAGACCCUCAACGAGGUGGAUUGACACAGUGGCUGCAACAAUGGGCUCAAGCAUAACGAUAGUAAGGAUGGUGCAGGACCGGGCAGUGUUUCGUUCUGUUGUGCAUAGGGUCGCUAUGAGUUGGAGCCAGCUCGAUGGCACCUAACAACAGCAACAACAUCAUUGAAAAGGUUGCUUAUCACAACUUUUUGUAAGGCUGAGUAGUCAUGGAUUGAAGCAAUUGAAUUUCAAAAUAUUAAACACGUGCAUUAGAGAAGGAAAAGUAAACAAUACAUACUUUCUGUCAAAUGAGAGAGAAAUUUCUGGUUUUCUCUGUCUUUCUCCACAAGCAUUGUUUGUGUCCAAAGAUCACAAUUUACUGUUUUUCCAUUUUUAACUUUGAAAGUAUAUGUUUUUUUAGGCAUUUUAGUAGAAGAACAUCUAAAAAGCUAACCUUACAAGGGUAAAUUAAGAUUUGCCUAGAAAACUAGAAAUAAGGGUCAUAUUAUGAGAUGACUUUAGCUUUAUACUUUAUGUACUUUUUUUGUAUUGUCUGAUUUUUUUUUUACAAGAUGCAUAAAUUACAAUAGAAAAUAAUUUCUAUAAGAUAAAAUAUUUUAUUUUUAGUUGCUUUUUAAAAACAAACCCAUUGAAACCAAAAAAUUUUUAAAGGUAGUUGCAAACUAUGUGACAUAAAAACAAAAUAAAACAAAAAAACCUGCUUUUUACUUUGGCUUACCCAUUAAGUAUUAAAUUGCUGAUACAGGUUUUUUUUUUUCUCAUAUUAGUUAUUUCAGAUAUAGUUAGUCAAGUGCAAAAUAAUCAAUUAGAUUUUAAGUGGAUGGUCCAAUCAAUGCUUUGUGAUUGACCUACAUGCAUGUAAUUGAUUCCUCUGAUCCCUUAGAGCUGAUCUUAAAGACUGACCUAGAUUAUUUUGUCACAGUUUAUUGCAUAUAGGGCACAAUGUAAUAAGCACACCAAGAAAAUACUGUUGCAAAGAUUUAGUUGAUGCCCAUCCAAUUAGAUUAGCACGUCAAACUAAUGUUGUUGUUGUUAGGAGCUGUCGAGUUGGUUUCAACUCACAGCAACCUUAUGUAUAAUAGAACCAAACAUUAUCCAGUUCUGUACCAUCCUUAAAAUAGUAGGUAUGUUUGAGCCCAUUGUUGUAGCCACUGUGUCAAUCCAUCUGAGGGACUUCUUCUUUUUCACUAACUCUCCACUUUACCAAGCAUGAUGUUCUUCUCCAGGGAUUGGUCCCUCCUGAUAGCAUGUCCAAAGUAAGCGAGACAAAGUUUCACCAUCAUUGCUUCUAAGGAGCAUUCUGGCUAUACUUCAUCCAAGACAGAUCUGUUUGUUUUUCUGGCAGUCCAUGGUAUAUUCAGUAUUCUUCACCAACGCCAUAAUUCAAAGGCAUCAAUUCUUCUUUGGUCUUCCUUUUUCAUUGUCUAGCUUUUGCAUGCAUAUGAGGUGAUUGAAAAUACCAUGACUUGGGUCAGGGGCACCUUAGUCAUCAAAGUGACGUCUCUGCUUUUUAACACUUUAGAGAGGUCUUUUGUAGCAGAUUUUCCCAGUGCAAUAGGUCGUUUAAUUUCUUGACUGUUGCUUAUACUUCCCUGUAAUUAUUUGCCUUUCUUUAUAUGUAAAAUAUAAUGUUAAGAUGAAUUAUUUCCCCUGUUUGCAAAGAAAAAUAAAGUUACCUACAGAUUUGUUGGAGAUGGAAUGGAUGGGUGAAUGCCUGAACUUGCUUGACCCUUCUGUAGAAAGCAGUGAGAGAUUUUGGUUUUUCUCCCUGUUCUUGAAAUGGCCAAAUUCACGUAAUAAAAACAAAGAAUGGGGCUGGGAAUUAUCAGU